UACGUAGGGUGCGAGCGUUGUCCGGAAUUAUUGGGCGUAAAGGGUGCGUAGGCGGUUUGGUAAGUCUUAUGUGAAAUCUACAGGCUCAACUUGUAGUCUGCAUGAGAAACUGCCGGGCUUGAGUAUGGGAGAGGUGAGUGGAAUUCCUGGUGUAGCGGUGAAAUGCGUAGAUAUCAGGAGGAACACCUGUGGCGAAAGCGGCUCACUGGACCAUAACUGACGCUGAUGCACGAAAGCUAGGGGAGCAAACAGG
rnacentral:rRNA from 1 species